GGGCGGGUAGCUCAGUUGGUUAGAGCAUCGCGUUGACAUCGCGAAGGUCGUAGGUUCGAGCCCUAUCUCGCCCAC
rnacentral:tRNA from 2 species